rnacentral:rRNA from 1 species
AUUGAACGCUGGCGGCAUGCUUUACACAUGCAAGUCGAACGGCAACGCGGGCUUCGGCCUGGCGGCGAGUGGCGAACGGGUGAGUAAUACAUCGGAACGUGCCCAGUAGUGGGGGAUAGCUCGGCGAAAGCCGGAUUAAUACCGCAUACGACCUGAGGGUGAAAGCGGGGGAUCUUCGGACCUCGCGCUAUUGGAGCGGCCGAUGGCAGAUUAGCUAGUUGGUGGGGUAAAGGCCUACCAAGGCGACGAUCUGUAGCUGGUCUGAGAGGACGACCAGCCACACUGGGACUGAGACACGGCCCAGACUCCUACGGGAGGCAGCAGUGGGGAAUUUUGGACAAUGGGCGAAAGCCUGAUCCAGCAAUGCCGCGUGUGUGAUGAAGGCCUUCGGGUUGUAAAGCACUUUUGGCGGGAACGAAAAGGACUGUGCCAAUACCACGGUUCGAUGACGGUACCCGCAGAAUAAGCACCGGCUAACUACGUG